UUCUUGUUCAAAUUGGUAGGUCACCAACCACAAUCUUGUUCAAAUUGGUAGGUCACCAACCCUAUCAACCAUGUGAAAAGGUGCUGGCCGAUUUAUGUGUUCAAAUUGGUAGGUCACCAACCCCAUCAACCAUGUGAAAAGGUGUUGGCCGACUUAUGUGUUCAAAUUGGUAGGUCACCAACCCCAUCAACCAUGUGAAAAGGUGCUG
rnacentral:lncRNA from 1 species